UCACGGGACCGCGCACGCUGCAGGGUUCUGGAAGUUUCUGGCUGAUGGCUGUUUUGACGUCGGUCUGAGAGUGUUAUUCUAGGGUUUAUAAUUGAUUAAUUAGUGAACGACUUAGGCUUGUAGUGUUAGUAAAAUGUAGGGUAUUUAUUUGUACUGCUAAUAAUAGUGUAUUAUUGAUAUUCCUCACAGUUGUUAUUGUAAUAUUGCUAAGUAAUUCAAUCAAGAUAUUGUGAUUUAAUGUUCAAGUUACUGCUUGACGACCCUUGAGGACACAACGUCAAAAAACCGUACUGCUGUAUUGUUGUCGUACUUCUUUGUAUUGUGCAUCUGUUCGUACCAACGACUAACAUACCAUGAUGCGCAACUAAAGCCUUAGCCAAUGAGGAGUGUCUGACGCGAUACGCUCCAUUGCGGCAACUUGAUUCGUUAACGCCCACUCGAGUUCCCAGCGUUUUGCUGCAGUUUCACCACAUCUGUUGGUCGCAUCGGACUCACGAGCUGUAGUUGUUAUAUAAUAAGUGGCUAUUAUGACUAAUAAAGAUCUUGACGAGGCAAUGGAAGAAAAGUUUACUUUGAAUGAGCAAAAGUAAGACAGCUAUUGAGAAGAGAGCUACAGAGGACAAAAAAGUGUUAUGAGAGGUUUAAUGCAGGACCACCAACAGAUCAUGCAUUCAAUUAUCUUAUCAUCAAUAUAUUUUCUGGUUUUUAUUCUAUAGAUAACACAUACUUAAAUGGAUAUUUUCAUGACAAUAUUUUUGCUAAUAAACAACUUAUUCAGUGAUUUAUAAAAAAUAACUUAUGUUUUAUUUCAAGGUGCUCAACGUGUCAAAAGUUAUUUUCCAGCGUGGCAACAAGGCAGAGAUAUUAGUGUGGGGAAAAUUGUAGUGGAAGAUCAUUGCAGCCACUGUUCCUAUUUUACCAAAUGUGGUCGAAUACUUACAAUUGUUACUGAAGAAAAGUCCUAAGUGAUCAAAUGUUAUCCUUCAGCUGUGAUGCAGUUAGCAUCCCCACACUGGAACAGAGUAUUCCAGGUUUACUAUACCCUCCAGUCUGUCUGGAAAUUAUUUGAUAGAUUCACAGCUAAAGAAAUGGAUAAAACGAAAGAUUUACUAGAUUCAAGUACUAUCAUAUUGAAUGACGAUGAGGUCCAUAUAAUCCAAUACAUUGCUGGGUGUAUUUUACAAAAAAUGCAAAAACGAUGCCAAGACCCGGAAGACUGCAAAAGAAUUCAGUCAUUAUUUAAUCCCGAACGGGACUGUUUGAUAACUGACUCUAUGGUUGCAGUAAUGCAGGAAACAGAAUAUGGACGCUUAACCGUACCAUUGCUCAGUGUCCUUGAACUAUGUAAGCUGCUUGAAAUUGAAUUUAGAUGGAACUAUGCUCAUGAAGGUGUUGUAGCCACAGUUUUUGAAAAUUUUAAUAUAGAAUCAUUUAGUAUUGCCCAAAACGAUAUUAGCAUGCUGGACAUCUUGGAGAAAUUAUGUAAGUUCUACCUGAAAAUAAGGUGCCAUCAAACAGCCAGAACCAGAAUUUAUCCAUAUGAAAACUGCUUAAAAAAUAAAUGUAGAUGAAGGGCAUGAUCUCUUUUUACUUUAUUUUGCAAUAUAGUGCGUUUAGAUGUGAUUUCGGUUUUAUUUUUAUUAGUUUAGCAGUAAUUAAACAAAGUAUUCUAUUUUUCAUAACCAAAUGUUCAUUUCAUGGAAUAUAAUAUAUUUUCAUGACAAUAGGCAAUAUAGGUUGCAUAAUAAAAAUACAGGGAGAACUGUUUGAGUUGUCCCAGCGACAGA